CCUUCAAGAGUGUGUUUGAAGUCCUGCGGUCUGGCAGGUGUGGGAUGCUGUGCACUGUUGUUCAAUCUCCCGCCAAUAUUGCACUCGUCCCGGCCUCCCUGACCACGAGGAACACGCGACUCCCCGCUGGAAUCUCCCGCCACCACAACAACAGAACUGUUAUGAACUGUUCGACCACUAGGGCGGCGCCAGACUGCAGGUGUUUCUUCAACACCAGUUCUCCUUAACCGGAGUAACACCGACGCUGGGUUUAUCUCUCAUCUGUCCUGGUUGUUUGGUCCCUCGUACACAGGAGUUCAGUGACCCCACACUGGGUUUCAGGGGGUCGAGAGAACGAGACGGAAGGCGUCUCGCUCCUCUCACACCUUUAUGUGCAUUAGAACCUGUUUACGGUGUAUACUGAAGUCCUCUGGAACAGUAUCUGGAAAAGAUAUGUUAAAGUCUGCUUAUUGUUUUAUUCUUCUGUUGUAAUGCUGGGUUUUGUCAAUAAACAACUUUUAUACCGAA